UGUAGUGGAUUAAGAACUUUGAUAAAUUCGGCUGUAAGAUAAGUAGUUCUUUUUGGUUUAAAUCCUAUAGUGCAAUAGCCAUUUUCAUUUCCUGAUCCUUUUGUCUGCUCUUAAAGCUUGAAUUUCCGUUCAAUUUUCCACUUUAGAGCUCGGUUUUAUUUUUGGUAAUUAGAAUAAAGUUUAGCCAUCGAGAUUUUUUGUUUACUAGUUAUUUAGCUCCGGCAUUUUUCGUUUGUUAAAAAAAUCAUUGUUAUUUCUUCCCCAAGGCCUUUAGCCUCAGGUUUUUUUUUUAUUUCUGCCCUGUCACCUUUAUUUGUUUUCACAGAAUAAAUUAGUUGUGUUAUUGUUCCAGUCAAGGACUGAGUAUUUGUGUUUUACUCUUUGUUAAUAAAAUACAUUUUUAUUUAUACUCAUCCCUUUUUCACGCCAGUUAUCAUGUUAACCCUCCUAUCACAACUAACUACCAUCUAGGGCAGGAUCCCCAAUCCAGCUUGUUUUAUAUCUCACCCUGCUGAUUCAGUGGCUGAAUCACCUGUUCAACAGCUAGUCAGGCUCUGAAGAACGCUGCUAAUCACCACUGAUUGAAAUCAGGUGUGUUAAAACAGGGACACAUUUUUACGGCUGGAGCCUUGUUGUGUUGUGUUUUCAUUUUUCUGUGCAUUUUUUGUUCUCAUUUAUGCUGCAUCUGAGCAGCAUGCCUGCAGACUAUGGCCUGUUUGCUCACCCUUGCUCCUCCCUGCACCAACUGAGCUGGGUUUUCGUCAGCCACUGAUUGCUUAAAGGACCUGCUGGAGCUCCUCACCGAUGGGGGACAAUAGUGCAGAGCUGCCUUUCUCUGCCUGUUGUCUCCCACUUAGGGCUUUGAUAUUGAAUAGUGAGAGGAAAUAAGCUUUAGGGGUAAUCUGUUACCUUUUAGUGUUUGAGAUUUUGUGCUCUCUUUAGAGUAGGUCCUUGUUAUGUUACAUUUUAGUAUUUGAGCCUGUUUUGGUUAAAUGUUUUUUGUUCAAUGGUGGUUUCUUUUCUAGAGUAAGACAAAAAAAAUAGAAAAGUAAAUAGAACCUUUGUUAAUUUUACUUUGUGUCACAUGUCCUCCAUGUUACCCCAGGCCCCCUAGACACCUGGGUUGUAGCACACAUCUAAAACAUGCUGGAUAGUGGAUCCUGAUGACCAGGGUUGGGCACCCCUGAUCUAGGGUUUGUAACACAGGCCAAUUCAGUUGUUUGGACAUCCGUCAGACAACAAAACAAAUUUGGAAACUAGUUAAUCAGUAAAAGCUCAGUUUAAUGAAAUUCUUCUCAUAUCUUGACUUUUCCUUUGUCUGCUCCACUAGGUCCACUGUGUGUUGCUUUGAAGCUUGUGGUUCCAAUCACAUAACUAAGUACAAAGCUUUUCUCACAGACUAUUGAAAUGCAGUUUUACUCUAAAACUGUUUUGGAUAGAGCUAAAAACAACUAAUCGAUUUAAUCGAUUAUAAUCGAUUAUUAAAAUAGUUAACAACUUUUUUAGUCAUCGAUUAGUUGUUUAAUAAUCAUAUUUUACCGCAUAAAGUCUAUUUUUUUACCACAAUCUGACAUCGGUUACAAUCUGUUAAAUUUGCCGCCAGUGUGUGGCAGUAAUGAGCCACUGAUCUACCAGUGGAGCCGUAGAAGAAGAAAUGAGCCAAUAAGUGCCCUCGGUUUUCAUGACGUAUCACGUUACUGACGCUCAUCUUGCUGUGAGAGAUGGCGGAUCAACAAGAAAUACGGAAGAAAAAUAGAAGCGACAAAACAAGAGAAACCACGGACAAAAACCUCACGAGUAUGGGAGCACUUCACUAGAUGCCUUGAAAAGACCGGUGACCUGCAAAAUAUGCAAAAACCAUGGCACGACGGAAGCACGACGUCCCUAAGUGAACAUUUGAGACGAAAACGUGGGGGCUGAUGCAGCAGAGGAAUGUCCGAAAAAAAACAAGCAACGAUGGACAACUACAUGGGGAACAAGACACUCACCCCCAGCAAUGCAUACCACUUACAAACUCUAUUCCAGAUUCUACAUUAUUUUUUAUGGAAUUUACCUCUUAUAUUUUGAUGCCAAAAAAUUAUUCUGGACUGAUAUUUUGCACUGUUUAGCUCAUUUUACACUGCUGACUGUGUUCAUGUGCAAUAAAAUAGAUUGCAUUCAACUGCACAAUUCUCUUAUGUUUUUCUUUUUCUUAACUGAAAUGUAUUCAUCACUUGUAUAGGUUAAAUAGCUAAACAAUAACAAACCGAUUAAUCGA